CCGGAAGUGGGGGGCUGCGGCGGGAGGUGAGGGCCGCCUGCCUGGCCGGACCCCAGGGGUGUCGGACGGUGGGCAGGGCCUCCUGGGAUCCCUGAGGCGCCGGCAGGAGGAGACGCCCUGGGGUCGGUGCCUCCACCUUCCCGUCCGGGCGGUUACAGCUUUCCCGCGUUCGCUGUCAGAGGCAGGGACCGGCGACCUCGGGGGCCUGGUCCCUGAGCCACAGCGGGGAGUCGUCCGAGCAUCUCGGGAUGAGGAAGAUCAAGUUGAAUCAAAAAAGAGGAAAGAAAGCCCAUCGCGUGUGACAGACAAGAAAGUGCUACCGUUAAAAGGCAAACAGUUCUAGAGUGUGCAAACAUUUGCAGUCCCUCUGCUGAUGAUCCUGGGUUUGGUUUGGCUGGGCUUGAGCAAAUGAAAAGGAACCAGGACGGUGCUCCAGCUUUCUGGGGAUCCUCCUCCAGCAUCGCCAAAGCCUGGGCCGGGCGCAUCCACUUAACUCACGGGGCAGGCUCCCAGUUUUUGAAGGAUCUUCACACCGCCUCCAGCAGCAGCCGCCUUAUAGACACUGCUUAGCCCGGUCCUGCACUUGCUCAGGUCCGGUCUCUGUAACAGAACACACGCGCAUCUCGUGAUGGUGCUUCUCUGAUGGAGCCUUAGCCGAUGCGCAGAAGUAGACAACUGUGUUGGGGCGGAGGAGGUGCCCUGAACUCCAGCUCAGCCCUCCUCCUCCCAAGCCCUUCCAUCCUAGGAUCAACAGGAGCCUGUGACUGACUACAGCAGGAGAGCAGGCGUGGCAUGGAUCCCGUGCAAGCCGGCAGUGGAGACCCAGCGCCUGAGAGUGACGUAGGGAACUAGCAGGAGCUAGAAGUGACUUAGGACGAGCUUUUGUAAAGAUGAGGUGUGAGUAUAAUAUCAGGAUGAUUUGACUGCAAGCAACAGAGAAUCAAACAGAAAUGGCCUAGGGAGUCCCUUCGUGGCUCCCCAGUUAACAAUCUGACUGGAUCAUGAGGAUGCAGGUUCAAUCCCCGGCCUCUAUCAGUGGGUGAAGGAUCUAGUGCUACCAUGAGCUGUGCUGUGGUGUAGGCUGGCGGCCGCAGCUCCAGUUGGACCCCUAGCCCGGGAACUUCCAUAUGCUGUGGGUGCAGCCCUAAAAAGCAAAAACAAACAAAAAAAUGAAACAAAACAAAACAAAAAAUCCACAAAAAAAUCAGAAAUGGCCUAAACAAAGAAGAAAACGUGUUAUCCCAUACUACAAGAAGUUUGGGGGUUGAGUGGUUAAACGCAUGAUUAGUUUAGAAACUUGACAGCACCACCCAGGACCCAUUUUCCCUAAGGCGCUGCUGCCCCCCACCCUGUAGGCUUAGCCACCGCAGCAAAGACACCCCCCUUCCCCAACCAGAGCCCUGCGUCAGGACUGGAAGGGGCCUCCUUCCCUCCAUCCCCUUCCAGAACCUCCGCAGAAGACUCCCCUUGACGUCUCAUUCCAUCCCAUACUGGUCACUUGGCAGGGGGAACGGAUUUACCAUGGUGGCCAGAGACAAAUUAAGUCGCCUCUGGAUCAUGAAGAGCCCCCAUCUCUGGAGAACACUUGACCACUCAGUACCCAGCAACUCGGGUACUCCUGGCAAGAAAGAGACAGGUGAUACCCACUGGGUCCUGUCCACAGCGCCUGCCCCCAGCAACCUGUCUACCUGGAAAACUGAGGGGGUGCCACGCGGGUCUGUGUCUUCUCUGUAGUUUGCCCGAGUCUUUCCCAUUAGGUAAGUGUCGCCCUUUUCCCUCUUUGCGGCUUUCCUCCUUGGCACGUCACCCAGGUUUUGUUCAGCCACAAGGGGCGAUAGGCUGAAAGAGGAAUCUCCAGGCCUAGGUGAUGGGCCAGCCGUGGUGAUCCUCACCCGUUUGCCUGGGCACCGUUUGGGAAACGUCCCCCUGCUCACCACGGAGAUGAAAGACCAGGUCCCUGGAGGGGCUUCGCGGAAGGAUUUUUCUCCCCAGUAAAGCGGCAGACAAGCCAGAGGUCCGCCGCCCUACGCGCCGUCUGCCUUUGAGCCGCCGCCAGCUCACACCCUUGAGCAGAAACGUUGCAGGGAGGCAGAAAGCGCCGAGUCUCAUGGAUCGUGCUGAGCGUUGCAUCCACCCAGGACUGCUUACCUUCAGACUUCUGCUCCGGUGGCAGAGCAGCAAACCCCUAUUGUGUAAGCCUUUGUAGAUGGCUGGUGCCACUUGCUGCUGAAAGUGACAGAUAAUCUUUCUAGGAAUAUAACCCCUAAAGCCCUUUAUGGUAACAGAUGCACUUAGAGAAUGUAGUUUUCUUUCUUUUUCUUCCUUAAAAAAAAAAAAAAGCUGAAGUCUGCCUCAGGCAAAAAGACAAACUGAAAACAUAUGUAUGCAUAAUUGAAGUGCAAUCAAUAUUCAUUAGAAAAUGAACGAAUGUUCUUCAAGUUACUUUAAUAGUUUUCUCGGGGAAUCUGUUUUUGGAUACGUAUGUCAGCUACAAUAUUUGGCACUUCCAGGAGCUCUGUGUUGAUGUCCUUCCUAGAAAUUGCACUUCUGCGCAUUUUUCUGCGCCUUUGGGGUCUCAGAUGUUCCUGGAAGGAAUCACUUUUCACUCCCCUGGCUUUUCCCUCGAACAGGUAACUUGUAACUUGCUGUUGCCUAUAGAUAUCCAGCAUUUGUCCAAAAAUAUGUUCCUAC
rnacentral:lncRNA from 1 species